rnacentral:rRNA from 1 species
UCGGGGUGCAGCAGGCGCGAAAACUUUACAAUGCGGGAAACCGUGAUAAGGGGACACCGAGUGCCAGCAUCAUAUGCUGGCUGUCCGGAUGUGUAAAAUACAUCCGUUAGCAAGGGCCGGGCAAGACCGGUGCCAGCCGCCGCGGUAACACCGGCGGCCCGAGUGGUGAUCGUGAUUAUUGGGUCUAAAGGGUCCGUAGCCGGUUUGGUCAGUCCUCCGGGAAAUCUGAUAGCUCAACUAUUAGGCUUUCGGGGGAUACUGCCAGACUUGGAACCGGGAGAGGUAAGAGGUACUACAGGGGUAGGAGUGAAAUCUUGUAAUCCCUGUGGGACCACCUGUGGCGAAGGCCGUCUUACCAGAACGGGUUCGACGGUGAGGGACGAAAGCUGGGGGCACGAACCGGAUUAGAUACCCGGGUAGUCCCAGCCGUAAACGAUGCUCGCUAGGUGUCAGGCAUGGCGCGACCGUGUCUGGUGCCGCAGGGAAGCCGUGAAGCGAGCCACCUGGGAAGUACGGCCGCAAGGCUGAAACUUAAAGGAAUUGGCGGGGGAGCACAACAACGGGUGGAGCCUGCGGUUUAAUUGGACUCAACGCCGGACAACUCACCGGGGGCGACAGCAAUAUGUAGGCCAAGCUGAAGACUUUGCCUGAAUCGCUGAGAGGAGGUGCAUGGCCGUCGCCAGUUCGUACUGUGAAGCAUCCUGUUAAGUCAGGCAACGAGCGAGACCCGUGCCCACUGUUACCAGCAUGUCCUCCCGGGACGAUGGGGUACUCUGUGGGGACCGCCGAUGUUAAAUCCGGAGGAAGGUGCGGGCCACGGUAGGUCAGUAUGCCCCGAAUCUCCCGGGCUACACGCGGGCUUACAAUGGAUGGGACAAUGGGUCCCUCCCCUGAAAAGGGCUGGUAAUCUCACAAACCCAUUCGUAAUUCGGAUCGAGGGCUGUAACUCGCCCUCGUGAAGCUGGAAUCCGUAGUAAUCGCGUUUCAAUAUAGCGCGGUGAAUACGUCCCUGCUCCUUGCACACACCGCCCGUCAAACCACCCGAGUGAGGUAUGGGUGAGGGCACGGACUUCGUGCCGUGUUCGAACCUGUGCUUUGCAAGGGGGGUUAAGUCGUAACAAGGUAGCCGUA